GAUGAACGCUGGCGGCGUGCCUAAUACAUGCAAGUCGAGCGAACGGACGAGAAGCUUGCUUCUCUGAUGUUAGCGGCGGACGGGUGAGUAACACGUGGAUAACCUACCUAUAAGACUUGGAUAACUUCGGGAAACCGUAGUUAAUACCGGAUAAUAUUUUGAACCGCAUGGUUCAAAAGUGAAAGACGGUCUUGCUGUCACUUAUAGAUGUAUCCGCGCUGCAUUAGCUAGUUGGUAAGGUAACGGCUUACCAAGGCAACGAUGCGUAGCCGACCUGAGAGAGUGAUCGGCCACACUGGAACUGGGACACGGUCCAGGCUCCUGCGGGAGGCAGCAGUAGGGAAUCUGCCGCAGUAGGCGAAAGCCUGACGGAACAACGCCGCGUGAGUGAUGAAGGUCUUCGGAUCGUAAAACUCUGUUAUUAGGGAAGAACAUAUGUGUAAGUAACUGUACACAUAUUGACGGUACCUAAUCAGAAAGCCACGGCUAACUACGUG
rnacentral:rRNA from 1 species